AUUGAACGCUGGCGGCAUGCCUUACACAUGCAAGUCGAACGGCAGCACGGGGGCAACCCUGGUGGCGAGUGGCGAACGGGUGAGUAAUACAUCGGAACGUGUCCUGUAGUGGGGGAUAGCCCGGCGAAAGCCGGAUUAAUACCGCAUACGCUCUACGGAGGAAAGGGGGGGAUCUUAGGACCUCCCGCUACAGGGGCGGCCGAUGGCAGAUUAGCUAGUUGGUGGGGUAAAGGCCUACCAAGGCGACGAUCUGUAGCUGGUCUGAGAGGACGACCAGCCACACUGGGACUGAGACACGGCCCAGACUCCUACGGGAGGCAGCAGUGGGGAAUUUUGGACAAUGGGGGCAACCCUGAUCCAGCAAUGCCGCGUGUGUGAAGAAGGCCUUCGGGUUGUAAAGCACUUUUGUCCGGAAAGAAAACGCCGUGGUNAAUACCCGUGGCGGAUGACGGUACCGGNAGAAUAAGCACCGGCUAACUACGUGCCAGCAGCCGCGGUAAUACGUAGGGUGCAAGCGUUAAUCGGAAUUACUGGGCGUAAAGCGUGCGCAGGCGGUCCGCUAAGACAGAUGUGAAAUCCCCGGGCUUAACCUGGGAACUGCAUUUGUGACUGGCGGGCUAGAGUAUGGCAGAGGGGGGUAGAAUUCCACGUGUAGCAGUGAAAUGCGUAGAGAUGUGGAGGAAUACCGAUGGCGAAGGCAGCCCCCUGGGCCAAUACUGACGCUCAUGCACGAAAGCGUGGGGAGCAAACAGGAUUAGAUACCCUGGUAGUCCACGCCCUAAACGAUGUCAACUAGUUGUCGGGUCUUCAUUGACUUGGUAACGUAGCUAACGCGUGAAGUUGACCGCCUGGGGAGUACGGUCGCAAGAUUAAAACUCAAAGGAAUUGACGGGGACCCGCACAAGCGGUGGAUGAUGUGGAUUAAUUCGAUGCAACGCGAAAAACCUNACCAGGUCUUGACAUCCCGAUGCUAUUUCUAGAGACAGAAAGUUACUUCGGUACAUCGGUGACAGAGUGGUGCAUGGUUGUCUGUCAGCUCCGUGUCGUGAGMWRUUGGGUUAAGUCCCGCAACGAGCGCAACCCUUACCCUCUGUUGCUAACAGGUGAAGCUGAGCACUCUGAGGGAACUGCCGGUGACAAACCGGAGGAAGGUGGGGAUGACGUCAAGUCAUCACGGCCCUUAUGUCCAGGGCUACACACGUGCUACAAUGGCCGGUACAAAGAGUUGCGAUACCGCGAGGUGGAGCUAAUCUCAAAAAACCGGUCUCAGUUCGGAUUGUUCUCUGCAACUCGAGAGCAUGAAGUUGGAAUCGCUAGUAAUCGUGGAUCAGCACGCCACGGUGAAUACGUUCCCGGGCCUUGUACACACCGCCCGUCACACCAUCUGAGUUGGCAGCACCCGAAGUGGCCGAUCUAACCGCAAGGAGGAAGGUUACUAAGGUGAAGUCGGUGAAGAGGGUG
rnacentral:rRNA from 1 species